AUGGACACAAAAGCAUAUCCAAACCCUAUCCAUUCGGGUCAGAUAUCCAUGGAUAAAAUUGCCAUCCUUAAUAUCACUGAAACGAUCAUCUCCAACCGAACUGAAGAUGCAGAGCUUUGGAUGUUUUGGCUGGUAGAUGCCCUACCCACGACGGCCCUUGCGCAUGUGCUCGUAACGAUGUGGGCAAUUGGGUGGGCUAGGCGUCGAGCUAUCCAUGAUAACCAGUUUCAAAGCCCCCUCAGUACCCAUGUGUUUGUUCAAAAGUUCAUGACGGAGCUCGACCAAAUUCCAAAGAAGGGGGCACGCACCAAAGAACUGCAUGCCUUGUCCAAGGACCUGCAUGUAACAUCCAAGGGCAUGCAUGCAAUUCCCAGGGACCUGCAUGUAAGGCCCCGAGUACCUGUGGGACUGCCAGUACAACCGGCAUGGCUGCCACCGGUAGUCCAUGACGUCAAGAUAAACGUGGACGGAGGCUUCUCCAAGAUUGGGGACAGGGGCGCAUCAGCCGUGGGUCUUUUGGAUCCGGCAAUUCUUGAGGCACAUGCAUGCAGCGAGGCGCUAGCACUCGCUUUGGAUUUACACGUCCGAUCCGUAUGUGUAGCGUCAGACUGUCAAGAAGUUGUGGCUAGGAUUGCAGAUGACUCCCCGUGCAGGUUCUUCCCAAUUCUACAAGAUAUCAAGCAUCAAAGGAGGUCUUUUAGUGAUGUUGAUUUCAUUUACGAGAUUCCUUAA
rnacentral:rRNA from 1 species